ACGAACGCUGGCGGCGUGCCUAAUACAUGCAAGUCGAACGGUCUUUUCUAUGGAAGCUUGCUUCCACUGAGAAGAUAGUGGCGAACGGGUGAGUAACACGUGGGUAACCUGCCCAUAAGAGGGGGAUAACAUCCGGAAACGGGUGCUAAUACCGCAUAGUUUUUCUUGAUCGCAUGAUUGAGAAAGGAAAGACGGCCUUUGUGCUGUCGCUUAUGGAUGGACCCGCGGCGUAUUAGUUAGUUGGUGAGGUAACGGCUCACCAAGACGAUGAUACGUAGCCGACCUGAGAGGGUGAUCGGCCACAUUGGGACUGAGACACCGGACCCAAACUCCUACGGGAGGCAGCAGUAGGGAAUCUUCCGCAAUGGACGAAAGUCUGACGGAGCAACGCCGCGUGAGUGAAGUUAAAGGGUUUUCGGAUACGUAAAACUCUGUCGUCAGAGAAGAACAAGUUGGAGAGUAACUGCUCCAGCCUUGACGGUAUCUGACCAGAAAGCCACGGCUAACUACGUGCCAGCCGCAGC
rnacentral:rRNA from 1 species